rnacentral:sRNA from 1 species
AUUUCCUAAUGGAUUGGAGCUCCGCAGGAACUUUUUUCUUGUUUUCAAGCGUAUCUGCUGUAACCGUUUUGUUUGUUGCAAAGCUGGUACCGGAGACAAAGGGGCGAACGCUGGAAGAAAUACAAACAUCAUUGAAUCGAUUUUCAGAAAAAUAGAUAAACGGUGCGCCUGCAUUAUGACAUUUGUCAAUCGAUUUCCAGAUGUGGUUUUACCCAUGAUUGAUUGCGCAGUGCAGCAUUGCAGAAGGAAGUAUGCUCUGAAUGUCAGCAAAGCUUUGCAAUUCAAGGAUCUACAGUGGCUCAGAUCCAUGAGACUAAUUUCAUUUUCUUUGUAUUAAACCAGUUGGUGAUUAGCACCUUCGAAAAAUAGUGUAUUUUUUCAUUGGUCCAGGGUUAUAGACUAAAUGCU